GACGAACGCUGGCGGCGUGCUUAACACAUGCCAGUCGAACGGAAAGGCCCUGCUUUUGUGGGGUGCUCGCGUGGCGAACGGGUGAGUAACACGUGAGUAACCUGCCCUUGACUUUGGGAUAACUUCAGGAAACUGGGGCUAAUACCGGAUAGGAGCUCCUGCUGCAUGGUGGUGGUUGGACAGUUUCGGCGGUUGGGGAUGGACUCGCGGCUUAUCAGCUUGUUGGUGGGGUAGUGGCUUACCAAGGCUUUGACGGGUAGCCGGCCUGAGAGGGUGACCGGCGACAUUGGGACUGAGAUACGGCGCAGACGCGUACGGGAGGCAGCAGUGGGGAAUAUGGCACAACGGGCGGAAGCGUGAGGCAGAAACGCCGCGUGCGGGAUGACGGCCUUCGGGUCGUAAACCGCAUUAGCCUGUGACGAAGCGGGAGUGACGGUAAUGGGUAAAGAAGCACCGGCUAACUACGUG
rnacentral:rRNA from 1 species